CAGUAGCCGCGGGAAUACGGAGGGUGCAAGCGUUAAUCGGAAUUACUGGGCGUAAAGCGUGCGUAGGCGGUUCGUUAAGUCUGUUGUGAAAGCCCUGGGCUCAACCUGGGAAUGGCAAUGGAUACUGGCGAGCUAGAGUGUGUCAGAGGAUGGUGGAAUUCCCGGUGUAGCGGUGAAAUGCGUAGAGAUCGGGAGGAACAUCAGUGGCGAAGGCGGCCAUCUGGGACAACACUGACGCUGAGGCACGAAAGCGUGGGGAGCAAACAGGAUUAGAUACCCCCGUAGUCCCUGUCUCUUAUAC
rnacentral:rRNA from 1 species